CUGUCACUUAUAGAUGGAUCCGCGCCGCAUUAGCUAGUUGGUAAGGUAACGGCUUACCAAGGCAACGAUGCGUAGCCGACCUGAGAGGGUGAUCGGCCACACUGGAACUGAGACACGGUCCAGACUCCUACGGGAGGCAGCAGUAGGGAAUCUUCCGCAAUGGGCGAAAGCCUGACGGAGCAACGCCGCGUGAGUGAUGAAGGUCUUCGGAUCGUAAAACUCUGUUAUUAGGGAAGAACAAAUG
rnacentral:rRNA from 1 species